UACGUAGGGUGCAAGCGUUGUCCGAAAUUAUUGGGCGUAAAGAGCUUGUAGGCGGUUUGUCGCGUCUGCUGUGAAAUUUCGGGGCUCAACCCCGAACUUGCAGUGGGUACGGGCAGACUAGAGUGUGGUAGGGGAGACUGGAAUUCCUGGUGUAGCGGUGAAAUGCGCAGAUAUCAGGAGGAACACCGAUGGCGAAGGCAGGUCUCUGGGCCACUACUGACGCUGAGAAGCGAAAGCGUGGGGAGCGAACAGG
rnacentral:rRNA from 1 species